rnacentral:rRNA from 1 species
GGGAGUGAAAAAGAACCUGAAACCGUGUACGUACAAGCAGUGGGAGCCCCACCACUAAGCCAGUGGUGAACUCCACAUACGCAUCCUUUGCUGAGGAUACGGUUAACGGAGCGAAAGCGACGUUCAACCGCAAAAGAAGCAGAGGGGGCUUAGUGGUGGGGUGACUGCGUACCUUUUGUAUAAUGGGUCAGCGACUUAUAUUCUGUAGCAAGGUUAACCGAAUAGGGGAGCCGGAGGGAAACCGAGUCUUAACCGGGCGUUAAGUUGCAGGGUAUAGACCCGAAACCCGGUGAUCUAGCCAUGGGCAGGUUGAAGGUUGGGUAACACUAACUGGAGGACCGAACCGACUAAUGUUGAAAAAUUAGCGGAUGACCUGUGGCUGGGGGUGAAAGGCCAAUCAAACCGGGAGAUAGCUGGUUCUCCCCGAAAGCUAUUUAGGUAGCGCCUCGUGAAUUCAUCUCCGGGGGUAGAGCACUGUUUCGGCUAGGGGGCCAUCCCGGCUUACCAACCCGAUGCAAACUGCGAAUACCGGAGAAUGUUAUCACGGGAGACACACGGCGGGUGCUAACGUCCGUCGUGAAGAGGGAAACAACCCAGACCGCCAGCUAAGGUCCCAAAGUCAUGGUUAAGUGGGAAACGAUGUGGGAAGGCCCAGACAGCCAGGAUGUUGGCUUAGAAGCAGCCAUCAUUUAAAGAAAGCGUAAUAGCUCACUGGUCGAGUCGGCCUGCGCGGAAGAUGUAACGGGGCUAAACCAUGCACCGAAGCUGCGGCAGCGAACGUAUCACUUAAAGCGAUUCAGCGGGUUACGAUUGACGGAGCGAAGCGACGUCAAAGCGUAUACAAAGUCGAGUCGGUUUAAGGAUACGUUCGUUGGGUAGGGGAGCGUUCUGUAAGCCUGUGAAGGUGGCCUGUGAGGGUUGCUGGAGGUAUCAGAAGUGCGAAUGCUGACAUAAGUAACGAUA